CUAGGUUUUGACUUUUUAUCUGUGGAUUUAUUUUCAGUGGAGAGAACACACGAUUUUGAAUGCUUCUGCAAGCACUUCAGAUGCUUCGUUUGACUUGCAACUAAUCUACACGUCUUCUAGAGGACCUGAACCCUAGGACCAUGCCUCAGGACAACCUGGCCUGAUGACUCCUCACUGUCCCCAGUCCACCUGGUCGUGCUGCUGCUCCAGUUUCAACUGUUCUGCCUGCGGCUAUGGAACCCGGACGUCCUACCUGUCCCAGACCUGCUGUUUUCAACUCUCUAGAGACAUCAGGAGCGGUAGAGAUACCGUGAAUAAUCGGCUAUGAAAAGCCAACUGACAUUUACUCCUGAGGUGCUGACCUGUUGCAUGCUCUACAACCACUGUGAUUAUUAUUAUUUCACCCUGCUGGUCAUCUAUGAAGAUUUGAACAUCUUGGCCAUGUUCUGUUAUAAUCUCCCCCUGGCACAGCCAGAAGAGGACUGGCCACCCCUCAUAGCCUGGUUCCGCUCUAGGUUUCUUCCUAGGUUCCUGCCUUUCUAGGGAGUUUUUCCUAGCCACCGUGCUUCUACACCUGCAUUGCUUGCUGUUUGGGGUUUUAGGCAGGAUCAGCUGAUGUAAGAAGGGCUUUAUAAAUACAUUUGAUUGAAAUUUGAUUGAAUGUGCGGGGGCAUGGGUGUCAAGGUAAUUGAGGUAAUAUGUACAUGUAGGUAGAGUUAUUAAAGUGACUAUGCUAGAUAAUAACAGAGAGUAGCAGCAACGUCCCAAUCUAUAACUAGGGUGGCUGGAAUAUUUGACCCUUUUUAAGGCCUUCCUCUGACACCGCCUGGUAUAGAGGUCCUGGAUGGCAGGAAGCUUGGCCCCAGUGGUGUACUGGGCCGUACACAGGGGCGUUGCCAUGAAAAAAACACUCCUGGGCCCC
rnacentral:lncRNA from 1 species